rnacentral:rRNA from 1 species
CAGUCGCCGCGGGAAUACGUAGGUGGCAAGCGUUAUCCGGAAUUAUUGGGCGUAAAGCGCGCGUAGGCGGUUUCUUAAGUCUGAUGUGAAAGCCCACGGCUCAACCGUGGAGGGUCAUUGGAAACUGGGAAACUUGAGUGCAGAAGAGGAAAGUGGAAUUCCAUGUGUAGCGGUGAAAUGCGCAGAGAUAUGGAGGAACACCAGUGGCGAAGGCGACUUUCUGGUCUGUAACUGACGCUGAUGUGCGAAAGCGUGGGGAUCAAACAGGAUUAGAUACCCGGGUAGUCCCUGUCUCUUAUAC